rnacentral:RNase_P_RNA from 2 species
UCAGACGGUCGGAUGGCCGCCCUUGCCUUUGGGCGGGGGAGGAAAGUCCGGGCUCCACGGAAACACGGUGCCGGAUAACGUCCGGCGGGGGCGACCCUAGGGAAAGUGCCACAGAAAGUAAACCGCCCUUCAUUGGCCUCGCGCCGCGAAGGGUAAGGGUGAAAGGGUGCGGUAAGAGCGCACCGCGUCGGCAGCAACGUCGGCGGCAUGGUAAACCCCACCGGGAGCAAGACCGAAUAGGGACGGUUGUCGGCUCACGCUGACACGCGGUGUUUCCGCGCCGCCGUCCGGGUUGGUUGCGCGAGGCGUCCGGUAACGGGCGUCCCAGACGAAUGGCCAUCCGUCGCGUUGCGUCCGCAAGGAAACGAACGCGGCGACAGAACCCGGCUUACAGACCGUCUGACGCU